rnacentral:rRNA from 1 species
CUAGGGAGGACCCUGAUGCAGCCAUGCCGCGUGUGUGAAGAGGACCUUCGGGUGUAAAGCACUUUCAGUAGGGAGGAAGGUAGUGUAGUUAACACCUGCAUUAUUGACGUUACCUACAGAAGAAGCACCGGCUAACUCCGUGCCAGCAGCCGCGGUAAUACGGAGGGUGCGAGCGUUAAUCGGAAUUACUGGGCGUAAAGCGCAUGCAGGCGGCCUGUUAAGUCAGAUGUGAAAGCCCGGGGCUUAACCUCGGAAUUGCAUUUGAAACUGGCAGGCUAGAGUCUUGUAGAGGGGGUAGAAUUUCAGGUGUAGCGGUGAAAUGCGUAGAGAUCUGAAGGAAUACCAGUGGCGAAGGCGGCCCCCUGGACAAAGACUGACGCUCAGAUGCGAAAGCGUGGGGAGCAAACAGGAUUAGAUACCCUGGUAG